rnacentral:rRNA from 1 species
GAUGAACGCUGGCGGCGUGCCUAAUACAUGCAAGUCGAGCGAAGCGGGGACGGGUGAGUAACACGUGGAUAACCUCCUAUAAGACUGGGAUAACUUCGGGAAACCGGAGCUAAACCCGAUCCUUAUACAUGGUUCCUCGCUGCAUUCGCUAGUUGGUAAGGUAACGGCUUUCCAAGGCAACGAUGCAUAGCCGACCUGAGAGGGUGAUCGGCCAAACUGGAACUGAGACACGGUGCAGACUCCUACGUGAGGCAGGAGUAGGGAAUCUUCCGCAAUGGGCGAAAGCCUGACAGAGCAACGCCGCGUGAGUGAUGAAGGUCUUCGGAUCGUAAAACUCUGUUAUUAGGGAAGCGGGACCUAAAGAGAAAGCCACGGCUAACUACGUGCCAGCAGCCGCGGUAAUAG